rnacentral:lncRNA from 13 species
CUACAGGAUACAGUCAGAACUGUGAAGUACAAUAUUAACACAUCAGGAGCUGAAGAAUUCACAUUUGGACUUAUGGGCCUGGGGUAGGGAUGACCAACAGAUCACAUGCUUCUCAUCUCUUCUACUCUCUGAUCCUGCGGUAGACAGGGCUAAGUGAUCUGCUCCCCACACCUUCUAGCCUCCAAGUGGGCCUCUUUUCAAGCAUGGAAUUCCAGGAGGUGCAUGUAACACGGUGGAGAAUCGGCGACUGGCUCUUCAAGCUUGAAACCAACAGGGGGCAGCAGAGAGCAGAGAAGAAUUGGUCGGCUUGGGCUGACCUAGACCUAGAAAAACUUCAAUUUUCUUCCCUCAAAACGGAAUCCUGGUGGACUCGCUCUUGACACUAUUGUCCGCACAAAAGUUGUGGUCUAAGGGCACAGCAAGAAAGGUGUGAAGGAGGCUUUCUUUGAGGUUCAGG